rnacentral:rRNA from 1 species
GUUUGAUCCUGGCUCAGGACAAACGCUGGCGGGGUGCGUGAGACAUGCAAGUCGAACGAGGUGCCAUCGGGCUUGCUCGAUGGCUACCUAGUGGCGGACGGCUGAGUAACGCGUAGGUGACCUGCCCGGAAGUGGGGAAUAACUGCCCGAAAGGGUGGCUAAUACCGCAUGUGGUCGGCGAAUCGGUUCGUCGUCUAAAGGAGUAAUCCGCUUCCGGAGGGGCCUGCGUCCGAUUAGCUAGUUGGUGGGGUAACCGGGGCUCCACCCAAGGCGACGAUCGGUAGCUGGUCUGAGAGGAUGAUCAGCCAGACUGGGACUGAGAACGGCCCAGACUCCUACGGGAGGCAGCAGUCGGGAAUUUUGCCCAAUGGACGAAAGUCUGAGGCAGCAACUCCGCGUGAGGGAUGAAGGCUCUCGGGCUCGUAAACCUCUUUUCUCAGGGAAGAUCCAAGACGGUACCUGAGGAAUAAGCCACGGCUAACUACGUGCCAGCAGCCGCGGUAAUACGUAGGUGGCAAGCGUUGUCCGGAUUUACUGGGCGUAAAGAGCGCGCAGGCGGCUGGUCAAGUCCAAUGUGAAAUCUCCCGGCUCAACUGGGAAACUGCAUCGGAAACUGAUCGGCUUGAAGGUGGGAGAGGGUAGUGGAAUUCCCGGUGUAGUGGUGAAAUGCGUAGAUAUCGGGAGGAACACCAGUGGCGAAGGCGACUACCUGGCCCAUUCUUGACGCUGAGGCGCGAAAGCUAGGGGAGCGAACGGGAUUAGAUACCCCGGUAGUCCUAGCCGUAAACGAUGAACACUAGGCGUAGUCGGUAUCGACCCCGGCUGUGCCGUAGCUAACGCAUUAAGUGUUCCGCCUGGGGAGUACGGCCGCAAGGCUAAAACUCAAAGGAAUUGACGG